rnacentral:rRNA from 1 species
UAAGGAAUAUUGGACAAUGGACGGAAGUCUGAUCCAGCCAUCCCGCGUGCAGGAUGAAGGCGCUACGCGUUGUAAACUGCUUUUGUACAGGAAGAAACGCCCGGAUUUAUCUGGGCCUGACGGUACUGUAAGA